rnacentral:pre_miRNA from 10 species
AAAGUAACUAGAUUGGCCUUCUCUUCCCGGUCCUUCCUGGAGUUGGGAAAAGCUGGGUUGAGGGAGCGUUAAAAAAAAAUUA